rnacentral:rRNA from 1 species
UAGGGAAUCUUCCGCAAUGGGCGAAAGCCUGACGGAGCAACGCCGCGUGAGUGAUGAAGGUCUUCGGAUCGUAAAACUCUGUUAUUAGGGAAGAACAAAUGUGUAAGUAACUAUGCACGUCUUGACGGUACCUAAUCAGAAAGCCACGGCUAACUACGUGCCAGCAGCCGCGGUAAUACGUAGGUGACAAGCGUUAUCCGGAAUUAUUGGGCGUAAAGCGCGCGUAGGCGGUUUUUUAAGUCUGAUGUGAAAGCCCACGGCUCAACCGUGGAGGGUCAUUGGAAACUGGAAAACUUGAGUGCAGAAGAGGAAAGUGGAAUUCCGUGUGUAGCGGUGAAAUGCGCAGAAAUAUAGAGGAACACCAGUGGCGAAGGCGACUUUCUGGUCUGUAACUGACGCUGAUGUGCGAAAGCGUGGGGAUCAAACAGG